rfam:Ictidomys tridecemlineatus contig128423, whole genome shotgun sequence.
GGGGAUAUAACUCAGUUGGUAGAGUGCUUGCCUCGAAUGCAGAAGGCCUUGGGUUCAAUCCCCAGCACCA